rnacentral:rRNA from 1 species
UACGGAGGGUGCAAGCGUUACUCGGAAUCACUGGGCGUAAAGCGCGCGCAGGCGGGCUGAUAAGCUGGAUGUGAAAUCCUACGGCUCAACCGUAGAACUGCAUCCAGAACUGUCAGUCUAGAGUCUGGGAGGGGAAGAUGGAAUUAGUAGUGUAGGGGUAAAAUCCGUAGAGAUUACUAGGAAUACCAAAAGCGAAGGCGAUCUUCUGGAACAGUACUGACGCUGAGGCGCGAAAGCGUGGGGAGCAAACAGGAUUAGAUACCCUGGUAGUCCACGCCCUAAACGAUGAAUGUUAGUCGUUGGUGUCCUAGUGACAUCAGUGAUGCAGCUAACGCAUUAAACAUUCCGCCUGGGGAGUACGGUCGCAAGAUUAAAACUCAAAGGAAUAGACGGGGACCCGCACAAGUGGUGGAGCAUGUGGUUUAAUUCGAAGAUACGCGAAGAACCUUACCUGGCCUUGACAUUGAUGGAACCCGGUAGAGAUACUGGGGUGCCCUUUUAGGGAGCCUGAAAACAGGUGCUGCACGGCUGUCGUCAGCUCGUGUCGUGAGAUGUUGGGUUAAGUCCCGCAACGAGCGCAACCCUCGUCACUAGUUACUAACGGUUCGGCCGAGGACUCUAGUGAGACUGCCUUCGCAAGGAGGAGGAAGGUGAGGACGACGUCAAGUCAUCAUGGCCCUUACGGCCAGGGCAACACACGUGCUACAAUGGGGUGUACAAUGAGACGCGAUACCGCGAGGUGGAGCAAAUCUAUAAAGCAUCUCUCAGUUCGGAUUGUAGUCUGCAACUCGACUACAUGAAGCUGGAAUCACUAGUAAUCGUAGAUCAGCUAUGCUACGGUGAAUACGUUCCCGGGUC